rnacentral:rRNA from 1 species
UACGGAGGAUCCGAGCGUUAUCCGGAUUUAUUGGGUUUAAAGGGUGCGCAGGCGGGAGAUUAAGUCGGCGGUGAAAUUUUGCAGCUCGACUGUAAAAGUGCCUUCGAAACUGGUUUCCUUGAGUGUGGAUGAAGUAGGCGGAAUUUGUGGUGUAGCGGUGAAAUGCAUAGAUAUCACGAGGAACUCCGAUUGCGCAGGCAGCUUACUAAACCAUAACUGACGCUCAGGCACGAAGGCGUGGGGAUCAAACAGGAUUAGAUACCCCCGUAGUCCCU